CACACUUUCCUCCGGACCAGAUACCCCGGUUUCUCCACCGUGGAGGCUGCUCUCGGGGUUCCCCUUAUCCCGCCCUCAAGGAAGUUUUGUGGUGUUGCAGGAAGAGUGACACCAGGGGAGGGUGCUCUCCUGCACUUCGGACUAAUGGCCUUUUUGGCAGCUACACAGUAGUCCAGGAGAUGGGCGCAUCCGGUUCUCAACAUUUCAUAACAUCGUCUUUUAAGGUACACAGACAAAAUGGAGUGUCUGGACUGGCAAAGCCAAGAGCUGGAGGCCCUGGCCUGGAAUGACCUCAUCAAGACCUUGCUGCCCUGGGACACUCUCUCUGAGCAAUCAGUCAGCACCCCCUUCCUGUUG